CUAUUUAAUUCCUAAAUAAUAAAAUUUUGAAAACUUACAAUUUUUACCUUACACUCUGUGACGCCUCACUUUUCAGCGAACGACUCGUCCUAGGACUACUCACACGCUUAGCUCUCUUAAUCUUGUAGGUCUAACCAUCGCCCAAAAUAUUAUAGUCGAGUAUUUAAAAACUAAUUAAUCUCCUGAAUCUAACCACCACCCAAAAUGUUUGGGUAUUUAGGAACUACACAAUUUUCUCCCUUUAAGCUCUGACGUCUUCGUCAGAUUAAGGCACACUCACAAGUAUCGGGUGAUGUGAGACUCGUUUCGCAAGGCUUAGCCGACCUUGUGCGACUUCUGCAUACUUUGUAAUAUGGUUCAGCCAUGACUCAUCUUAUAUUUCCUACUGGUAAUUGACUCUGAUACCAACCGUAAAAACUCACUAUCCAGAGGAUCAUCCAUUAUAGAACUACUUUAGUCUUAGCACAUUUAACUCUCUGAUCCUUUUAAGCCUAACCACAGCCAAAAAUACUAUAACCGAAUUUUUUAGUAAUUUUAGUUCUAUUAUACUUUAUAUAUUAUAUAUAACACUAUUUCGAAUCCCCAAACCUCUCACACACACACACUUUUGACCACAUCUAUUUGAUAAAUUACACACUCUUU
rnacentral:lncRNA from 1 species